GAGUUGGGAUCUUGAUCGGAGGGUAUCAACUGUGACUCUUGACAAUUGCAGUGCCAAUGAUAACAUGAUUGGCUUAAUGGACACAAGGCUUGGGGCGGCUAAUAUGCUAUUGAAAGGAAAAUGGCUGCACAUGCGGUGCUGUGCACAUAUUCUCAACCUCAUUGUGAAAGAUGGCAUGGCAGUAAUUGGAACUGCAGUUGCGCACAUCCGAGAAAGUGUUGCUUAUUGGAUUGCUACUCCAAAAAGGUACGAAAAGUUUGAGAAAACUGCUCUAGAUGAAAAUGUUGAAUUGGACAAGAAGUUGCAUUUAGACUGCAAAACUAGAUGGAACUCAACCUACAUCAUGCUUAGCAUUGCUAUACCUUAUAGGAAGGUUUUUGAACGUUUGGGUGAGCUUGAUAGGAACUAUGAUUGUCCAGCAGCAGAUGAUUGGACAUUUGCUACUAAUGUUCGUGAGAAAUUAGGGAUAUUCUAUGAGCUUACUGAGUUAUUUUCUGGGACAAAAUAUGUUACAGCUAACCUGUUCUUCCCUAAAGUAUGUGAGAUUAAACUUAAACUCAACUCUUGGGGUCAUGAUGAAGAUGAAACUAUUAGGAACAUGUCUGCUGCCAUGAUAGAAAAGUAUGAUAAGUAUUGGGCUAACAUCCAUGGUCUUAUGGCUGUUGCUGUUAUUCUUGAUCCACGUCUUAAGAUGACAAUGUUACAUGCUUGCUAUAUUGCUCUUUUUGGAGAAGAGGCUGCUGGAAAAUAUGUUACAGAGGCUCAGGAAUUGCUUACUAGUUUAAUGAAACAUUAUCAUGUGAUAGACCAAGACAAUGUGGCUACAUCCUCUGCUGGUGCCCCUUCUACAGUUAGUGCAGCUGCUGUGUUGUCCAUAUUUAAAACCCUUACUGCAAAUAAGAAGACUACAAGCUUUGUUAGAAGUAAGAAUGAGCUUGAUCGCUACUUAGAAGAGGAAACUCUUCCUCGUGAUGAGAAUAAUUAUUUUGAUAUCCUAGGCUGGUGGAAGUUGGAGGGAGCUCGUUAUCCUACUUUGAGGCUAAUUGCUCGUGACAUUUUGGCUAUUCC
rnacentral:lncRNA from 1 species